ensembl:lncRNA
GCAACGCAACUUAAAUGUGUAUUUGAAUAACUCGGAGGGUCUUUUAAACAUCUUCGUGAGCAGGUCUUGUCUAGACCAAUUAAAUCAGAAUCCCUGGCUGUGGGAUUUAGACAGAAGCAAUUUUAAGGGUGAUUCCAGAGUUACCCUCGUGGCUCAGCAGUUAAGAAACUCGACUAGAAUCCAUGAGGAUGUGGGUUCGAUCUCUGGCCUCACUCAGUGGGUUAAGGAUCCCAUGUUUCCAUGAGCUGUGGUGUAAGUCACAGACUUGGCUUGGAUCUGGCGUUGCUGUGGCUGUGGUGUAGGCCAGCAAAUGCAGCUCUGAUUCAACCCCUAGCCUGGGAACCUCCAUAUGCCGCAGGUAUGGCCCUAAAAAACAAAAACAAAAAACAUAAAUAAAAGUGAUUCCAAUAUGCAUUUGAGGUUAAGAACCACUGUAAUGGCGGCCUAGAGCUGCACAAACCUAUGUCUGGGGCUCAAGUUAGUUAGAAAUCAUUGGUUCUUACACUUCGGCAGGCGGGGCUCCUUAAAAUUCAGAUUGCCUUGCCAUCACCUCCAGAGCAUCUGAGUCAGCAGAUCUGGGGGCUUUUUCUUUUUUUUUUUUUUUUUGCUUUUUAGGGCCACACCCGCAGCAUAUGGAGGUUCCCAGGCUAGGGGUCUAAUUGGAGGUACAGCUGCCGGCCUAUGCCACAGCCAUGGCAAUGCCGGAUCCUUAACCCACUGAGCAAGGGCAGGGACCGAACCCGCAACCUCAUGGUUCCUAGUCAGAUUCGAUUCCGCUGUGCCACAACAUGGACUCCAGACUUUGCAUUUCUAAUGAUGCUGUUCCAGGGCCCAAACUGUGAGAAGCACUGCUUAAACAAUGAGGGAAUGUAUCCUUUCCCCUAACACAGAGCCCAGAGGUAAGGAGGCUCUGAUCAAUGCAAGAUUUGAAAAUCCAAUCAAUUUCAGUUGAAAGUCGAAGCUGUGGUUCUUUGCUUUUCGGACUCUUGCCUCCAGUGAGGUCAGGUUUCUGAGCAGAGGUUCAAGGUGCUUUGUGACUGGGCCCUUCUACCCCUGCAGCCACACCUUUGCUCAAGACUUACUUUCCUAGAGUUCCCAUCAUGGCUCAGUGGAGACAAAUCUGACUAGCAUCCAUGAGGAUGCAGGUUCGAUCCCUGGCCUUGCUCAGUGGGUUAAGAUCUGGAGUUGCUGUGAGCUGUGGCAUAGGUCACAGAUGAGGCUCGGAUGCCGAGUUGCUGCGGCUGUGGUGUAGGCCUCUAAGCUACAGCUCCGAUUUGAUCUCUAGCCUGAAAAUUUCCAUGUGCCAUGGGUAAGGCACUAAAAAAAAAAAAAAAAAAAAAAAAAGACUGCCCUUCCCUUCUAGAAUUCCCUCUAACCCUCUGUUUUGCCUGUCUAAAUACCCACCCCUAAAUCUCCCUGCCCCUCAAACUCCACUGGUAGAUCUCCCUCCCCGAUCUGCCCAGUUUUCCCAAAUCCUGCUUUGUGUCAUUAGCUGUCCUUCUGAGUGUCGACCUCAAUUCCAGCUGGGCUGUAAGAUUCUCGAGGGUCAGAGCAAGGCCGAGUUCACGCUUCACCUGUGUCACCUCUGGAAAGUCACUUGCUGAACAUCUCCCAGAGCAUCAGUAUCCUAAUCUGUGGGAUGGGAAUGUGAGAAAAUUAAAUAAAAUGCAAAUGUCACCUGCCAAA